AACAGGUUGUGUCUGUUCCCAGCUGAUGAAGGUUUCAAGAAAUUCCAGGAGUGAAAUUCUUACUACUCUCAGCAAGCUAACAAGCAAUGAAUUUUGUUUCUGCUGUUAACCAAAACUGAAUUCAGAACCUGGCAUUACAAUGAAUUCUAAAGCAGCCUCUUCUGUAGGGUUCAUUCUGAAGAAAUUCAACAGAAUAAAUUAUCAUUCUCCCCAACCAUUUGACUGUGGCUUUGAAUAUAUAAUGUAUC
rnacentral:lncRNA from 1 species